AGAACAAACCUGAACAUAUAUGGACAUGAUCAACAAAGUCGACAACCGUCAGGGUUUAUGUGAGCCUCCCCAGAAACAUUGUGCAUAAAAGGGUGGUUCCUCUUUUAGUGUGAAGCUGCAGUAUAUAAGAUCAAAACGCUAUGGUUCAGUCAUCAUAAGACUUUGGCAAGUUGAACCGUUAGUAACUGAAUCAAGGAGACGUUUACAGCUGAGAUCCAGAGUCAGUUUUUGUGCCGUGCAGUAUUUGAAUAUGAAGAAGACUCUCUGGAUUUGUCUGCUCACCCUGGCUGUUGUGAUGUCCUUCUUUUCAUCACACGGUUUUCAUGUUGCAACUGACUGCUGUACAGCCACCAGUAAACCAAGGAAGACUUCUAUUGGACCAAUCAUGGAGUGUUUUGAACAGAAACAAUGAUAUGGUUGCCGGCACCAUGCCUUCCUGAUUAUAACCGACAGCGAUGAGUAUAAAUGUCUCAAUCCAAAUCUCCCGUGGCUCAAAAAGGAGAUAAAGGAGGGAAAAUUGGAGUGUGAGCCAGAUAUCUCAGCCAAUCGCAGAUUUGAAGUCCUGGAUGAAGAUGAUCUGGAAUAAAAACAGCAGCCCAGAACAAUUUCUGAUGAUUUACUACUUAUUGCUUUUACUGAAAUAUCAACAUGUUUCAAGCAGAGUUGUUCUUUUUUGGGAGAAAUAAAUCUGAAGCCAGAAAUAAAUCAUAUUAAAUUGAUUUGAA